rnacentral:rRNA from 1 species
CGGUUGAUCCUGCCGGACCCGACUGCUAUUUGGGUGAGGAUAAGCCAUGCGAGUCGAAUGGGAUACCGAAAUUUCUCAUGGCGGGGGGCUCAGUAACACAUGAUCAACUAACCCUAUAGAGAAAAAUAACCUCGGGCAACUGAGGAUAAUGUUUCAGAGGUGAAAAGGCUUGCUGAAGUUUUUCAACCAAUGGAUAAAAAAUGGUUUUUAUCCGCUAUAGGAUAGGAUCGUGGUCGAUUAUGGUUGUUGGUGAGGUAACGGCUCACCAAGCCGAUAAUCGAUAGGGGCCGUGAGAGCGGGAGCCCCGAGAUGGGUACUGAGACAACGACCCAGGCCUUACGAGGCGCAGCAGGCGCGGAACCUCCGCAAUACACGAAAGUGUGACGGGGUUACCCAAAGUGUUCAAUUUUGAACUGUGGUAGGUGAGUAAUGUUCCCUACUAGAAAGGAGAGGGCAAGGCUGGUGCCAGCCGCCGCGGUAAAACCAGCUCUUCAAGUGGUCGGGAUAAUUAUUGGGCUUAAAGUGUCCGUAGCCGGUUUAGUAAGUUCCUGGUAAAAUCGGGUAGCUUAACUAUCCGUAUGCUAGGAAUACUGCUAUACUAGAGGGCGGGAGAGGUCUGAGGUACUACAGGGGUAGGGGUGAAAUCUUAUAAUCCUUGUAGGACCACCAGUGGCGAAGGCGUCAGACUGGAACGCGCCUGACGGUGAGGGACGAAAGCCAGGGGAGCGAACCGGAUUAGAUACCCGGGUAGUCCUGGCCGUAAACGAUGCAUACUAGGUGAUGGUAUGGCCAUGAGCCAUAUCAGUGCCGUAGGGAAACCGUUAAGUGUGCCGCCUGGGAAGUACGGUCGCAAGGCUAAAACUUAAAGGAAUUGGCGGGGGAGCAC